UAUCUGAUAUGUGGUCUAUCGGACCACACGAUAUUAACUCUAUUUUUUAAAGGAGAAAGCCCAUUAAGAUAGCUUGCUAUCUGGUCUUUCACGAGUCGUCUAUGCGUUGCACUAUUGCAAGGGUCGGCUCAACCCGC
rnacentral:snRNA from 1 species